rnacentral:rRNA from 1 species
GUAAUGUGAAUUGCAGAAUUCAGUGAAUCAUCGAAUCUUUGAACGCACAUUGCGCCCGCCAGUAUUCUGGCGGGCAUGCCUGUUCGAGCGUCAUUUCAACCCUCA